rnacentral:rRNA from 1 species
CUACGGGGGGCUGCAGUGGGGAAUAUUGGACAAUGGGGGAAACCCUGAUCCAGCAAUGCCGCGUGUGUGAAGAAGGCCUGCGGGUUGUAAAGCACUUUCGGUUGGGAGGACUGCUUCUAGCACUAAUAUUGUUGGAAGUUGACGUUACCUUCAGAAGAAGCACCGGCUAACUCCGUGCCAGCAGCCGCGGUAAUACGGAGGGUGCAAGCGUUAAUCGGAAUUACUGGGCGUAAAGCGCGCGUAGGCGGCUAGAUCAGUCGGGUGUGAAAGCCCCGGGCUUAACCUGGGAACUGCAUCCGAUACUGUCUAGCUUGAGUACAGGAGAGGAGAGUGGAAUUCCACAUGUAGCGGUGAAAUGCGUAGAUAUGUGGAAGAAGACCGGUGGCGAAGGCGAUUUUCUAGUUUAUACCUGACGCUGAGGCGCGAAAGUGAGGGGAGCAAACAGGAUUAGAUACCCCUGUAGUC